CAAUAGCGUAUAUUAAAGUUGUUGCGGUAAAAAAGCUCGUAGUUGGAUUUCUGUUGAGAGCGACCGGUCCAUACCAUGUAUGCGUAUCUGGCUUGCUCUCGGCAUCCUCUCGAUAGACGUUGCUGCGCUUGAUUGCGUGGCGCGGAUCUCGGGACUUUUACUUUGAGGAAAUUAGAGUGUUCACGGCAGGCUUUCGCCAGAAUACAUUAGCAUGGAAUAAUACUAUAGGAUCUUGGUUCUAUUUUGUUGGUUUCUAGAAUUGAGAUAAUGAUUAAUAGGGACAAUUGGGGGCAUUCGUAUCAACACGUCAGAGGUGGAAUUCUUGGAUUGUGUUGCGACGAACUACUGCGAAAGCAUUUGCCAGGGAUGUUUUCAUUGA
rnacentral:rRNA from 1 species